AUCGAGAACCCAAUGGCGGACCGUGCUACAAACAGACGACACACUGCAGACAACACGUGGGUGAGGUGGCACAGAAGCGGGCUCAAGAGAGACUGAAAUUCCAGUGAGGACCCAAGUGACAGCCACUCUGACAGUGAUGAGGAGCAAGAACAGUGGAUGGAGAAAACAGCAGGUGUUAAAUGUGAUAGCAGUGUGGUUGGUCCCCUGUCUGUGGGCUCGUCUUCUGUCAUCACUGGCCUGAUAGAAUUUGGGAAGGCCUCAUUGCUAGGUGAAGUACUGCCAUGGCUGCCUACAUGAACGUUAAGGCUGGCUAACGUCAUUGUGCGAGUGGACUGACCGAUGAAAUCCCCAAAGUGAAGAGGCAGGUUACGUCAUAAAGAACACAGACCUCCUCACAUGAAAGCUAUGGGUAUGCCCCAGGAGAAGCAGACCAUGAUGCUGAUAAGAAGAGCACCCUCGCCUCCUUCAACCUGGAGAGAAGAUGGAGGACAAGAUCCUAUGGGACUUCACAGAGACGAUUCAUGAGAAUGUUGAGGAGAGGAAGUAUAGACGCCAGUCUUCGCCUCCAUCACUGAGGAGGAACAGUUUCCAAGAUUGCAUGAGGGAUCCUCAUCAGAAUCUUAGGCAUUGAUUCACAAAAAGGCAAGGAAAGGACUCAAUUUUCUCAGACAUACAGUUCCAAGAAUCAUACAUAGUGAUUAAUAAUUCCAACAAAUGGCAUUCACAUCGCAAAAAAUGAGCGUCAUUUAAUUUGGCUAUUUUCUGGCAUCAAAACAAGAAACUUCCCCUACAGAGUACUGAAGUCACAAGACAUUGAAAACAAAUUUUGGUCAACACCUUAUCAAGGUCCUUUACGGCCCUGAAAAUGAUGUAUAAAACAUUAAGUUUUAACCAAGUAAUGUGAGGGCACCGUUUAUGAGUUAGAAUGAUAUUGCGGUAAUGUGAACGCACGGUCACGGAGUUAGAAUUAUAUUGCGGUAAUGUAAAACUGCUAUUUAUGAGUUAGAAUGAUAUCGAAGUAAUGUGAGGGCACUGCUCAUGAGUAUAUUCUGGUAACUAAAGUGAGGGCAGUAUUUGUGAUUCUGAAUCACAGAAAUGAAGCUCUUUGAAGAUGUGUUUACAUGUAUCUCAGCAUGAAAAAAUAACAUGUAACUGUUGAGACCCUUUUAUUCAGUAAAAUAAUGCAAUGUCUGACAUGUAUCUGUUGGCAAAUAUUCCCCCAAAUCACAUAUAAUUACAAUGUAUCUGUGAAAAUGAUGAUUGAUACAAAAAAAUCAAAUUUGUGGUUGUCAGGACAUUAAACAGUUUUCCAAAACCUAAACACAAAAUGCUAAGA
rnacentral:misc_RNA from 1 species